rnacentral:rRNA from 1 species
AACGAACGCUGGCGGCAGGCCUAACACAUGCAAGUCGAACGCCCUAGUAAUAGGGAGUGGCAGACGGGUGAGUAACACGUGGGAACCUUCCCUAUAGUACGGAAUAGCCCAGGGAAACUUGGAGUAAUACCGUAUAAAGCCCGAGAGGGGAAAGAUUUAUCGCUAUAGGAUGGGCCCGCGUAGGAUUAGCUAGUUGGUGAGGUAACGGCUCACCAAGGCAACGAUCCUUAGCUGGUUUGAGAGAAUGACCAGCCACACUGGGACUGAGACACGGCCCAGACUCCUACGGGAGGCAGCAGUGGGGAAUCUUGGACAAUGGGCGCAAGCCUGAUCCAGCCAUGCCGCGUGAGUGAUGAAGGCCUUAGGGUUGUAAAGCUCUUUUGCCGGGGACGAUAAUGACGGUACCCGGAGAAUAAGUCCCGGCUAACUUCGUGCCAGCAGCCGCGGUAAAG